CUGGGGCCGUAUUAUGAACUCUUAUUCCCAUUCAGUUUACGGCUUAAACUGAACUGCCUGGCGAUUUCGUAUUACGAACGCUAUUAGCCAGCCAGUCAGCGGUCACGUGACAGCUGAACGUCUUCUGCCCGAAAACUGACCGGCUAUUUCGUAUUAUGAGCGUUUCAUUUGACAGAUCUAAGCGGACACAACUGUCAAAAAGACCGUUUAAAAACAAUUCAGUUUACGGUGGCUUCAUAUUAGCUUUUAUAGAAUUGUUUUCUAAUUUAUAGCUUCAUUAUUGUAAUUUGGUUAUUAUUUCUAUUUCUAUGUCAGUUUUUAUUAUGUUUAAAACAUGUUUGUGCAGUUAUUUCGAUUGUUUUUGUUUCGUUUUAAUUUUAAUUAUGUGUGAUGAACUCGAAGUAUUGGAGUUUUUGGAAAUGUGUGCACCCUACGAAAAAGAAGUAAGGAAAGUGAAAAGACGGCGAUUACGCGACCAAUCCAAUAAAAAUGAACAAUUUAGAAAACGUUAUAAUCUAAAUAAAGAUUUGGUGCGUAAUAUGCGUGCGAACUCAUAUGCCGGUAUCAUCGAAAUUUACAGACCUACCAGUGGAAACUAAGGUUUUAUAAUUGGAAUUUGGAAUGCUGGGUGUAUUGGGCUGUAUUUGACUGUACACAUGCCACCCCAUUGUAAAUUAAGAAGAGAUAUUACUGUAGAAAACAAUACCAUUCAUUAAAUAUAUAAUUGGUUAGUAAUGCUGACAUGGAGAUUAUAAGUGUGGAUGCCAACUGGAACUGGAGCUACUCAUGACAUUUGGGCAAACCAGAGGCAUUAAGCAACAUCUAGAGGACUUAAGCUGGAAUAAAUCCUUAUGAUUACUUGGAGAUCCAGGAUAUGCUUUAGAGAAGUAUACUCCCAUCUCAAAUGCUAUACCAGGACCACAAGAAGCAUAUUACACUGUAAGAACAUGGAAUAUCAUUGAGAGCACAAUUGGGCUUCUAGAUUUAGAUGCCUACAUGUACUUUGAGCUCUUAUAGAGAACUAAAUGAAGGUCUAGCUGCUAGACAAACCCAUGUUGUUUAGUUGUGGAACUAAGAAAUUGAAACAUUUAUAAAUAAUAAUAUUGUUAAUAGGUCAAUGUUUUAAUUAUUUGUUUUUAUAAUAAAUGAUAUAGGUACAUUA